rnacentral:rRNA from 1 species
AUUGAACGCUGGCGGCAGGCCUAACACAUGCAAGUCGAACGAGUGGCGGACGGGUGAGUAAUGUCUGGGAAACUGCCUGAUGGAGGGGGCUAACUACUGGAAACGGUAGCUAAUACCGCAUACCAUCAGAUGUGCCCAGAUGGGAUUAGCUAGCUGGUGGGGUAACGGCGCACCAAGGGGACGAUCCAUAGCUGGUCUGAGAGGAUUACCGGCCACACUGGAACUGAGACACGGUCCAGACUCCUACGGGAGGCAGCAGUGGGGAAUAUUGCACAAUGGGCGCAAGCCUGAUGCAGCAAUGCCGCGUGUGUGAAGAAGGUCUUCGGGUUGUAAAGUACUUUCAGCAGGGAGGCGUUACCUGAAGAAGAAGCACCGGCUAACUCCGUGCCAGCCGCCGCGGUAAUAC